GGGAGGUAGUGACAAUAAAUAACAAUACAGGGUUCUUUGAAUCUUGUAAUUGGAAUGAGUACAAUUUAAAUCUCUUAACGAGGAACAAUUGGAGGGCAAGUCUGGUGCCAGCAGCCGCGGUAAUUCCAGCUCCAAUAGCGUAUAUUAAAGUUGUUGCAGUUAAAAAGCUCGUAGUUGAAUUUCGGGAUCAAUACGUCGGUCGUGCUUUUUUGGUACGCACUGGCGUCAUUGGUUUCUCCUUUCUGAGGAGCCAUGAUGCCAUUAAUUUGGUGUCGUGGGGAAUCAGGACUGUUACUUUGAAAAAAUUAGAGUGUUUAAAGCAGGCACACGCUUGAAUACAUUAGCAUGGAAUAAUGAAAUAGGACGUUCGAUUCUAUUUUGUUGGUUUCUAGGAUCAACGUAAUGAUUAAUAGGGAUAGUUGGG
rnacentral:rRNA from 1 species